rnacentral:ncRNA from 7 species
AAUGGCACUGGUAGAAUUCACGG